AAUGGACGCAAGUCUGAUGGAGCAACGCCGCGUGAGUGAAGAAGGCUUUCGGGUCGUAAAACUCUGUUGUUGGAGAAGAAUGGUCGGCAGAGUAACUGUUGUCGGCGUGACGGUAUCCAACCAGAAAGCCACGGCUAACUACGUGCCAGCAGCCGCGGUAAUACGUAGGUGGCAAGCGUUAUCCGGAUUUAUUGGGCGUAAAGCGAGCGCAGGCGGUUUUUUAAGUCUGAUGUGAAAGCCCUCGGCUUAACCGAGGAAGCGCAUCGGAAACUGGGAAACUUGAGUGCAGAAGAGGACAGUGGAACUCCAUGUGUAGCGGUGAAAUGCGUAGAUAUAUGGAAGAACACCAGUGGCGAAGGCGGCUGUCUGGUCUGUAACUGACGCUGAGGCUCGAAAGCAUGGGUAGCGAACAGGAUUAGAUACCCUGGUAGUCCAUGCCGUAAACGAUGAAUGCUAGGUGUUGGAGGGUUUCCGCCCUUCAGUGCUGCAGCUAACGCAUUAAGCAUUCCGCCUGGGGAGUACGACCGCAAGGUUGAAACUCAAAGGAAUUGACGGGGGCCCGCACAAGCGGUGGAGCAUGUGGUUUAAUUCGAAGCAACGCGAAGAACCUUACCAGGUCUUGACAUCUUUUGAUCACCUGAGAGAUCAGGUUUCCCCUUCGGGGGGCAAAAUGACAGGUGG
rnacentral:rRNA from 2 species